CGCCGGUUUUCUCCUAGCUCCGGCCACCAAAACUUCCGAUCCUUGGCUCCAUGAACUCCCCUCAACCUGCUGAUCAUCAUACUAGGAGGAUUGCACCUAGAGUGACCGGUUUCACGUUCGUCGGAGCUCGUGAGUUCUCCUUGAUGUUCUUAACAACUCUCUAGAAGGGAUCGAAGCCUGAAAUUGAAGUUUUGACGUCGAAAUCAAGCCUUGCCGGAUUCUGCAAAUUUCGCCGGAUUCUGGAAAUUUUCCGGCCACCUCGACUGUUUUAGGUGAUUGACGGAUCGAUUUGGCGGACAAUUUGUGAAAUUGUUGUUGAGCUGUUAAGAAGAUGCAGCUGGAUUAGAGGUGAGUAAAAUCGCACAUGGUUCCUUCAUGAACCGAAAUUUAGUGAUUUAUAUUGAAUUAUAAAGGUGUGGAAAAUUGUUUUAAGAAAAUAAAGAUUUGUUUUGAAAUAAUAUGAACUUGAUCGACUACGGUUCAUAAGGCUACUACUCACAGGUAAGGAAAAUGAAUUUAAGUAUAAAAAUGAAUUUCUUGUUUUUAUUGCAUGUGAACUAUAGAUGGUAUUAGUAGUCACUCUUGUGUAGGUGAUUACGUAUAUAUAUAUUGAAAGUUAUGACAUUGUGUGAUGUAUUGAGUUGUUCGUGAUAAAGAGUAGUUGAGUAAAGUGCGAUAGUUGAAAUGUGUAGACGAAUUAUAUGUUAGUGUCAAGUGUUCUCAUCGUGUGUCGAUGAUGGUGUCAAGUAUUCUCAUCGUGUGUCGAUGAUUGUGGCAAGUGUUCUCAUCGUGUGUCGAUGAA